rnacentral:rRNA from 1 species
GAACGUUGGCGGCGUGCUUAAUACAUGCAAGUCAACUGAAGCACCGGUAGUAAUACUGGUGUGGAGGUGGCGCACGGGUGAGUAACACGUAGGUAAUCUGCCUUCAGGUCUGACAUAACCCCGAGAAAUCGGGGCUAAUAGCAGAUGAUGCAGCGGCUUGACAUCAAGACAGUUGUUAAAGCUUCGGCGCCUGAAGAUGAGCCUGCGUCUGAUUAGCUAGUUGGCGGAGUAAUAGCCCACCAAGGCGACGAUCAGUAGCUGGUCUGAGAGGAUGAUCAGCCACACUGGAACUGAGACACGGUCCAGACUCCUACGGGAGGCAGCAGUAAGGAAUAUUGCUCAAUGGGAGAAAUCCUGAAGCAGCAACGCCGCGUGAGGGAUGAAGGGCUUUUGCUCGUAAACCUCUGUAGUGAGGGAAAAAUUUCCAUCCUAUGGAAUAUGAUGGUACCUCAAAAGUAAGCCCCGGCUAACUACGUG